AUUUCUUUUCUUCAUUUUCCUUUUCCCCAUCCCACACGAGCCGAACUCUUCUCCCCUGCAGAAACCAUGCGCCGACGCCGAAAUUCCUCUCUCGAUCUUCUGCCCUAGCCGUCGCGAGGGCACCGCCGGCUCCUCCUCUCGGCCAAUCUAUCCUCGCCGGCCGACGAGAGCCGAGGAUAAAGCCCCGUCGCCGGCCACGCAUCGAGCCCUAGGUCUUUCUCUCUCGGCGCCGGUUGCUUCUUCCUCCGGUACCGGAGCCGUGGCCGAGGGAUGUGCUUCUCCUCCCUUGCCGGUGCUCUCGGUUUUUCCUCUGCUCAUCGCCCCGAUCGCUGCUGUGCCCUAGCUUUCACUGCCAAGCCGAGGUGGCGUCGCUGCAUCCCACAGGAACCCUAGCGCCGGCCUUCUCCACGCUGGGCCUUUUACCGAUGCCGACUUCUUCCUCUGCUGCCUCUCUGCGCAGAUGCAUUUCCGACUCCACUGCAGCCACGCAUGCCCUAGGGUGGAGCUUUCUCUGGGCAUCUCUGCCUGACGUCUCCAUCUGGACCGGUGGUCCUUGCGAGCAGCUAACCCCAUCAAACUCCUCUUGGCUGACAAGUCGUCGACUACUGCUGUUAGUUGUGCCUUCUGUUCUCAGCGCACCACACACACGAAUGUGUAUGCUGAUUACAUCAUUGUUGGGUUCAACACCAGCCUUCUGCCAUCGCCGAAGAACUACCACUAACAGGAGAUUAGGGUGAUUUGAAGGGACAAUGGUUUCGCCUUCCCUGGUUAUCAUUACCAAGAGUAAGAACCUUCAGACAAAGUUCCGGCAGUAGGUUUUUUUCUGGUUGUGAGUCAUCAGCAGAGUAUCCUGCUGCCGACGGUCCCAUUGGAGCUUCGCUUGGUCUCGACCACUAUUACUGAUGUGAGGAUGCGCCGUUAGUGAGGCAACAUCAGGGUGCACUGGAAUUGGGACUUUGAUUCGAGACAGGCGCCUCGACGUAGGAUUUCUGGAUACGAUCUUCUGUUGAGG